GUGGCACGACUCACCAACACCCCUAGAGAUCCACUGGCAAAAUUUUUGCUUCCUGUUCCCAUGACAUUAUAUUUUGCUGGCCUAAAGGUCUUAGUUCCAGAGGGAGAAACACUGCCGCCAGGAGACACAACAACGAUUCCAUUCAAUUAGAAGUUAAGAUUGCCACUUGGACACUUUGGGCUUCUCCUACCUUGAAGUCAACAGGCUAAGAAGAGAGUUACUUGGCUGGGGCGAUUGACCCAGAUUAUCAAGAUGAAAUCAGUCUACUACUCCACAACUGAGGAAGCCAAGCCACACUGCUAACUGAUGAGAGACCAGCUUGAAAGAGGGAGGACCUGCCAAUUGCCAUCAGCACAACUCCAGAUAUAUGGGAGUCAGGUGAUCAUAAACCAUCCAUUUUCUGCUGAGUCACAGUAGACUGCAACUCCAUGAAUGAGACAAGGAGGUGUCGGUAAAAACAAAACAAAACAAAACAAAGCAAAAACUGCCUGGUGUAACCACAGAAUCUUAAGAAAUAAUAAAUGAUUUUAAUCCAA
rnacentral:lncRNA from 1 species